AACGAACGCUGGCGGCAGGCCUAACACAUGCAAGUCGAGCGAGGACUUCGGGUCUGGCCGCGGACGGGUGAGUAAAGCGUUGGAAUGUGCCCUUCUCUACGGAAGAUCGCGGGGAAUCUGGUAGGAAUACCGGAUCCGCUCUAUCGUGGAAAGAUUUAUCGGAGAAGGAGCAGCCCGCGUUGUAUUACGUUGUUGGUGGCGUAAUGGCCUCCCAAUCCGACGUGCCAUAACGGGUUUGAGAGGCUGAUCAGCCACACUGGGACUGAGACACGGCCGGGACUCCUACGGGAGGCAGCAGUGGGGAAUCUUAGCAAACGGCGUGAAUCCUGAUGUAGCCAUGACGCGUGAGCGAUGAAAGCUUUAGGGUUGUAAAGUUAUUUAAGCUCGGAAGAUAAUGACGGUACCAGCAGAAGAAGCACCGGCUAACUCCGUG
rnacentral:rRNA from 1 species